CGGCAACGGAUAUCUGGGCUCUCGCAUCGAUGAAGAACGUAGCAAAAUGCGAUACUUGGUGUGAAUUGCAGAAUCCCGUGAAUCAUCGAGUCUUUGAACGCAAGUUGCGCCCGAAGCCUUUAGGCCGAGGGCACGCCUGCCUGGGCGUCAUG
rnacentral:rRNA from 1 species